rnacentral:lncRNA from 1 species
UUUUAAAUAUCAAAUAUCAAAUUUACAAUUUUAGAUUUCAAAUAUUAGAUUUUAUAUUUUAAAUUUUAAAAUUCAAAAUUUGAAUAUAGAAUGUAAAAUUUAAAAUUUAGGAACUGAAAUCUAAAGUUAAAAUAUGUAAAAUUGAAAAUUUUAGUUUUAGUAAUUAAGAUAAAAAUAUAAAAUUUUUAAAUUGUAAGUUUUAAAUUUUAAAUUUCAAAUUGCAAUAUUUUAAAUAUUAAAUUAUAAAUUGAAUUUAAAAAUUUUAAAUCUUAAAUUUUGAAUAUUUUAAAAUUUAGUUUUAGUAAUUAAGAUAAAAUAUAAAAUUUUUAAAUUUUAAGUUUUAACUUUUAAAUUU